GCGGAUGUGGCGGAAUUGGCAGACGCGCUGGAUUCAGGAUCCAGUGCCCGUUUAGGGCGUGGAGGUUCAAAUCCUCUCAUCCGCA
rnacentral:tRNA from 1 species